ensembl:misc_RNA Metazoa_SRP Metazoan signal recognition particle RNA
GCUGGGCAUGGUGGCGCGUGCCUGUAAUCCCAGCUACUCGGGAGGCUGAGGCAGGAGAAUUGCCUGAGCCCAGGAGGCGGAGGUUGCAGUGAGCCGAGAUUGCGCCAUUGGCCAUUGCACUCCAGCCUGGGUAACAAGAGCAAAACUCCGUCUCAA